AGCGAACGCUGGCGGCAGGCCUAACACAUGCAAGUCGAACGAACCCUUCGGGGUUAGUGGCGGACGGGUGAGUAACACGUGGGAACGUGCCUUUAGGUUCGGAAUAACUCAGGGAAACUUGUGCUAAUACCGAAUGUGCCCUUCGGGGGAAAGAUUUAUCGCCUUUAGAGCGGCCCGCGUCUGAUUAGCUAGUUGGUGAGGUAAUGGCUCACCAAGGCUACGAUCAGUAGCUGGUCUGAGAGGAUGACCAGCCACAUUGGGACUGAGACACGGCCCAAACUCCUACGGGAGGCAGCAGUGGGGAAUCUUGCGCAAUGGGCGAAAGCCUGACGCAGCCAUGCCGCGUGGAUGAUGAAGGUCUUAGGAUUGUAAAAUCCUUUCACCGGUGAAGAUAAUGACUGUAGCCGGAGAAGAAGCCCCGGCUAACUUCGUGCCAGCAGCCGCCGUAAAAC
rnacentral:rRNA from 1 species